rnacentral:rRNA from 1 species
UACGUAGGGUGCAAGCGUUUGUCCGGAAUUAUUGGGCGUAAAGAGCUCGUAGGCGGUUUGUCGCGUCUGCCGUGAAAGUCCGGGGCUCAACUCCGGAUCUGCGGUGGGUACGGGCAGACUAGAGUGAUGUGGGGGAGACUGGAAUUCCUGGUGUAGCGGUGAAAUGCGCAGAUAUCUGGAGGAACACCGGUGGCGAAGGCGGCUACCAGGCCUAAGACUGACGCUGAGGUGCGAAAGCGUGGGGAGCGAACGGG